rnacentral:rRNA from 1 species
GUGGAUUAGAUACCCUGGUAGUCCAUGCCGUAAACGUUGGGCGCUAGGUGUGGGACUCAUUCCACGAGUUCCGUGCCGCAGCUAACGCAUUAAGCGCCCCGCCUGGGGAGUACGGCCGCAAGGCUAAAACUCAAAGGAAUUGACGGGGGCCCGCACAAGCGGCGGAGCAUGCGGAUUAAUUCGAUGCAACGCGAAGAACCUUACCAAGGCUUGACAUACACCGGAAGCAUGCAGAGAUGUGUGUGCCUUUUGGCUGGUGUACAGGUGGUGCACGGCUGUCGACAGCU